rnacentral:rRNA from 1 species
UGAGGAAUUUUGCGCAAUGGGCGCAAUCCUGACGCAGCAACGCCGCGUGGGUGAUGAAGGCCUUCGGGUCGUAAAGCCCUGUCAGGUGGGAAGAAUGUCCCGGGACUGAACAGGUUUCGGGAGUGACGGUACCACCAGAGGAAGCACCGGCUAACUCCGUGCCAGCAGCCGCGGUAAUACGGAGGGUGCAAGCGUUAUUCGGAAUUAGUGGGCGUAAAGCGCGUGUAGGCGGCCCUGCAAGUCUGAUGUGAAAGCCCCGGGCUUAACCCGGGAAGUGCAUUGGAAACUGCAGGGCUUGAGUACUGGAGAGGAUGGGGGAAUUCCCGGUGUAGAGGUGAAAUGCGUAGAGAUCGGGAGGAAUAUCAGUGGCGAAGGCGCCCAUCUGGACGGUAACUGACGCUGAGACGCGAAAGCGUGGGGAGCAAACA